CGGCGGAGCGGCGCCAUGCGGCGGGCUCGGGCCGCGGGGCUGCCGGCGCUGGCCGCGCUGCUGCUCGUGGCUGCGGUCAGAGCUCAAGUGCAGCAGGAGCCGUUCCUGGAGACCACCGAGGGCACCAGCAUCAGCAUCAAGUGCUCACACGCCAAUAUCCGGACUGGCGAUUUCAUCUACUUCUACCGUCAGCUGCCGGGCCAAAGCCCCGAACUCCUAGCCAUGACUGCUAAAGCGUCCAAGGAGGUGCGAGCCCCUGAAGGGCGUCUGACGGUGUCGGCAGAUCGGCGUUCCAGCGCGCUGUGGCUGGCUGCGCCCCGGCGCGGGGACGCGGCCGUGUAUUACUGCGCGCUGGGGACCACGGGCAGAGGAGCCGGGGCUGCGGCCGGGCACGAACCGCCGCGGGCGGGGCCGGGCGGGGCCAGCAGGGGCCGCUCCGCUCCCGGCUGACGCCGCUCGGCGGGGCACGGACCGAGCCGCGCCUGGAACCCGCGC